rnacentral:rRNA from 1 species
GCAUAUCAAUAAGCGGAGGAAAAAGAAACCAACAGGGAUUGCCCCAGUAACGGCGAGUGAAGCGGCAACAGCUCAAAUUUGAAAUCCGGCCGCGAGGCCCGAGUUGUAAUUUGCAGAGGAUGAUUCUGGCGCGGCGCCUUCCGAGUUCCCUGGAACGGGACGCCACAGAGGGUGAGAGCCCCGUAUGGUCGGCCGCCAAGCCUGUGCGAAUCUCCUUCGACGAGUCGAGUAGUUUGGGAAUGCUGCUCAAAACGGGAGGUACAUCUCUUCUAAAGCUAAAUACCGGCCAGAGACCGAUAGCGCACAAGUAGAGUGAUCGAAAGAUGAAAAGCACCUUGAAAAGGGGGUUAAACAGUACGUGAAAUUGUUGAAAGGGAAGGGCUCGUGACCAGACUUGGGCCCGGCGGCUCAUCCGGCGUUCUCGCCGGUGCACUCCGCCGGGCCCAGGCCAGCAUCGGUUCCCAGCCGGGGGAGAAGAGCGACGGGAACGUGGCCGCCCUCGGGCGGUGUUAUAGCCCGCCGCACGAUGCCCCGGCGGGGACCGAGGUCCGCGCUAACGCAAGGAUGCUGGCGUAAUGGUCACCAGCCACCCGUCUUGAAACACGGACCAAGGAGUCGUCCAUCAGAGCGAGCGUUUGGGUGCCAAAACCCGCACGCGCAGUGAAAGCGAACGCAGGUGAGAGCUUCGGCGCAUCAUCGACCGAUCCCGAAGUUUACGGACGGAUUUGAGUAGGAGUUUUGCUGGACGGACCCGAAAGACAGUGAACUAUGCUUGUAUAGGGUGAAGCCAGAGGAAACUCUGGUGGAGGCUCGCAGCGGUUCUGACGUGCAAAUCGAUCGUCAAAUAUGAGCAUGGGGGCGAAAGACUAAUCGARCUGUCUAGUAGCUGGUUACCGCCGAAG